AGCACCAGAAAUGGAAGCUUGGUCAGAGAAUGCGAUGCCGGAGAAUAACCAGCCACCAGGAAACGGCGGUGCAAGUUUGAGGACAUUGGAGAGAAUUCGCUGCUUAAGAAUGUAUAGGAUCAGAAAUUUGAUAACAUGACUAUAUUACGAGGACCAGAAAAUAAAAGUUCUUCUAUAUUUUAAUGCUAUCAUCCUCCUACCCACAUAUUAAAUGGUGACAAGUGGAUUAAAAUAUUAUCAAUUUCAUUAAAUGUGUAAGAUGAAUACACACAUCUUUAUAAAACUACAUUUUUAUGCUUC